GACGUAGGGGGCAAGCGUUGUUCGGAAUUAUUGGGCGUAAAGCGCUCGUAGGCGGGAUUGUAAGUCCGUGUUGAAAGACCUCGGCUCAACUGAGGGACCGGCUCGGAUACUCUAAUUCUUGAGGCAAUCAGAGGAUGAUGGAAUUCCCGGUGUAGCGGUGAAAUGUGUAGAGAUCGGGAGGAACACCGGUGGCGAAGGCGGGUCUCUGGGCAAUUCCUGACGCUGAGGCGCGAAAGCGUGGGGAGCAAACGGG
rnacentral:rRNA from 1 species